CUGUACCUAGGGUUCGAAUCCCUAACUCUCCGCCAUUAAAAUUCAAAAUAGAAAUUCCUUUUUAAGGUCGGACCGCGGCGCCUUGGUCUUGCGCAAUGGAAACUUGCGAAUCCCGUCAGGUCCGGAAGGAAGCAGCGGUAAGUGAUCAUUUUCAUGUGCCGUGAGGUUGCCUGGGGGCUGCGGCCCGACGUUGAAAAGGAAUUGUAUAG
rnacentral:SRP_RNA from 1 species